CAGUUGAAAAAAGAGAAGAAUGAGUGAAUGAAAUUCCAGGAGGGAUUCAGAUCUAAAGUCACAGGGAAAGAAGGGGUAUCUAAAGGGAACAGAAAAUGUUUUCAAUCAGGUUUUGAUCUAUUUUUUUGUUAUUGCUGGUUUGCAGCCAAAGAGGAGCUGAAUGGUUAAAGAGAGAGGASAGCAAGAAGAUAGAAUUUUCCAGAAGUUUCCAGAGACAAACUCCUGCCUUUUCCCCCAGGGAGGAGCGAUGGCAGGGACACCUUCCACUAUCCCAGGUUACUCCAAACCCCGUUCAAUUGGCUUUGAACACUUCCAAGCAUGAGGAAUCCACAUCUUCUCUGGGCAAUCAGUGCCGGGCCUCACCACCCACACAGUAGAGGAUUUUUUCUUAGAAAUUUGGAAGRUGUAAAGAAGGAAGGUGCCAUGUGAGAGAUGCUACUUGUCCUGGAGGAAUCCCAUSAGGAAGCAAAGUGCUGGAGUAGGCUCUAGGCUGCUGUCCGAUCACUCAGCCUGGUCGACACUAUUGUGUUUUUCUCCAAGGCUGGUGCCAAGAAGAUGGUGCCAAACUCUUUUUGACAGGAUGAGGAGCAAUCGCCAUAAACUAAAACACGAAAAGUUCCAUCUCGACAUGAGGAAGAASGUCUUUCCAUGGAGAGUGGCAGAGCCCUCGAACAGCCGCCCAGGAAAGUCGUGGAGUCUCCCUCUCUGGAGACAUCCCAAACCCACCCGUGUGUUCCCUGCUCCAGGUGACCCUGCCUGGGCAGGGGGCGGACUGGGCSAUCUCCAGCUCCCU